GAUGAACGCUGGCGGCGUGCUUAACACAUGCAAGUCGAACGAAGCACUUUGAUCGAUUUCUUCGGAUUGAAAUUUUAGUGACUGAGUGGCGGACGGGUGAGUAACGCGUGGGUAACCUGCCUCACACAGGGGGAUAACAGUUGGAAACGACUGCUAAUACCGCAUAAGCGCACGGUAUCGCAUGAUACAGUGUGAAAAACUCCGGUGGUAUAAGAUGGACCCGCGUCUGAUUAGCUAGUUGGUGAGGUAACGGCCCACCAAGGCGACGAUCAGUAGCCGGCCUGAGAGGGUGAACGGCCACAUUGGGACUGAGACACGGCCCAAACUCCUACGGGAGGCAGCAGUGGGGAAUAUUGCACAAUGGGGGAAACCCUGAUGCAGCGACGCCGCGUGAGUGAUGAAGUAUUUCGGUAUGUAAAACUCUAUCAGCAGGGAAGAUAAUGACGGUACCUGACUAAGAAGCACCGGCUAAAUACGUGCCAGCAGCCG
rnacentral:rRNA from 1 species